rnacentral:rRNA from 1 species
GGACGAACGCUGGCGGCGUGCUUAACACAUGCAAGUCGAGCGGUAAGGCCUCUUCGGAGGUACACGAGCGGCGAACGGGUGAGUAACACGUGAGUAAUCUGCCCUUCACACUGGGAUAACCUCGGGAAAUCGAAGCUAAUACCGGAUACGACCACUGACGACAUCGUCUGGUGGUGGAAAGCUCCGGCGGUGAAGGAUGAACUCGCGGCCUAUCAGCUUGUUGGUGGGGCAAGGCCCACCAAGGCGACGACGGGUAGCCGGCCUGAGAGGGUGACCGGCCACACUGGGACUGAGACACGGCCCAGACUCCUACGGGAGGCAGCAGUGGGGAAUAUUGGACAAUGGGCGAAAGCCUGAUCCAGCAACGCCGCGUGAGGGAUGACGGCCU